CGGGUGAGUAACACGUGAGUGACCUGCCUUUUAGACUGGAACAACUUACCGAAAGGUGAGCUAAUGCCGGAUGAGUUAUAUAAGUGCAUGUUUAUAUAGGAAAAGUUGGGGAGACCUGGCGCUGAAAGAUGGACUCGCGUCCCAUUAGCUAGUUGGUAGGGUAAUGGCCUACCAAGGCGACGAUGGGUAGCCGGCCUGAGAGGGUGGCCGGCCACACUGGGACUGAGACACGGCCCAGACUCCUACGGAAGGCAGCAG
rnacentral:rRNA from 1 species